rnacentral:rRNA from 1 species
CCUACGGGAGGCAGCAGUGGGGAAUAUUGCACAAUGGAGGAAACUCUGAUGCAGCCACGCCGCGUGCGUGAAGACGUAAUUCGGUACGUAAAACUCUCUCAGCAGGGAGGAAAAUGACGAUACCUGAGUAAGAAGCACCGGCUAACUACGUGCCAGCAGCCGCGGUAAUACGUAGGGGGCAAGCGUUAUCCGGAUUUACUGGGUGUAAAGUGGGCGUAGACGGUGCGACAAGUCUGGAGUGAAAUGCCGCAGCUUAACUGCGGAACUGCUUUUGAAACUGGUGAACUAGAGGGCGGGAGGGGUAAGCGGAAUUCAUAGUGUAGCGGUGAAAUGCGUAGAUAUUAGGAGGAACACCGGUGGCGAAGGCGGCUUACUGGACCGCAACUGACGUUGAGGCUCGAAAGCGUGGGGAGCAAACAGGAUUAGAUACCCGGGUAGUC